UGAAAAAGGCUGAGGAGCAACUUGAUUGCAUGGAAUCUACGCAUGCAGGGAAGCAGUUGCACUUGUCCUUGUGGGGUCAGCACUGUGGAGUUCGUGGGCAAUUUUGGAAGCAUUAAUGUUGUGUAAGCAGUGAAGAUGGAAAGCAGACACGGCAGCUGGCAAAGAGGGAUCCUCCUGCCAAUCCUUGCACUGGUGUCCCUGCCAUGGUACAUACCCAUUGCAUGGGCCUGCUCAUUUCCAAUGAAGACUCUUGAAACUUCUUGAUAUCCAGG
ensembl:lncRNA